GAACCACUUUCUUGAAUUUUAAAACUUCCAAAUUCGAGUCCUUCUUUGUUUUGUAAUCUCACUCACAUCCGGUUUGGAUUUCACGAGACUAAUUCCUUGGUCGAGUUCCAAUUUGUUUUUUGAAGCACGUAGUGAAAGCAACGAGCGGUAAAAGGCAGAGUGGUAAGAUCAAUUGAGGGUAAAAGCCAAAUUGAAUGAAUUCCAAGCGAACUUGGUGAAGCAGAAAAAAGUUAGAUUAUAGGAUGUCUGACAUGGAAGGAACACAUUCUGGCAGGGACAAUGAUCAACUUAACAUGAUGGCGUAAUCGAUACUGUGGAUGAAAAGGAUGAUGGGGGACGUGAGGGAUUGAUUGGAUCGACAGGAUGUGCGGUUAGAUAGGCUUAAUCCAAUGCCUGCUUAUCAUCGACGGGGAGCCAAUAAUGCAUGGCGGAAUGGAAGGCGGGAAGUUAGGAUAGAUGAUCAGAAUGACUUUGAGGCUGAUAGUGGAUUCGAUGAGGAUGCACUUGUGGAUGCAGAGGUUGGAAGGGUUAGGAAUAGAGGUGUUAGGCAAGGUGUGAGAGGUAGGAUUCUUGGUGGAGAUGAGUUGGAUGGUAAUUUGGGAAAUAUUAAAAUGACCAUUCCUUCUUUCAAAGGGAGGAGUGAUCCGGAGGCGUACUUAGAGUGAGAGAAGAAGAUUGAGUUGAUAUUCGAUUGCCACAACUACUCGGGGGAGAAAAAGGUGAAAAUUGCGGUUCUUGAGUUCUCUGACUAUGCAAUAGAUGAAGAGGCGGAGGAUUGGGGCACAACUUAUAAAUACUUAGGUGGAGUUUAAGAUGUUAAUGCGGAAACGGUUUGUACCUAAUCACUUUUAUUGGGAGCUUCAUCAGCGGUUACAAAAUCUAUAUCAAGGCACUAGGAGCGUAGAUGAUUACCAUAAAGAGAUGGAGAUGCUUAUGAUUAGGGUGAACGUGGAAGAGGAUAGGGAAGCCACUGUGGCUCAAUUUUUGAGGGGGUUGAAUAGGGAUAUUGCCAAUUGAUGUGAAGCUUUUUGAAGACCUCAAGGAAUUUUGUAUACUGCCUGUCUAACUUGUGUUUUUGCAGCCUCUAAGGAAAUGGAAUUGGCGGCUCGUAUGGUUUAAUAGGAGUAGUUUCCUUAACUUGCGGUGUAUUUGAACUCUCUUUGAUAGAUGUAUCUGUUGUUUGUUCAAUCUGUUCUGCAUGCUCUUCAUCAGUAGAGGGUACUUUUUCCUUAUUUACAGUUGGCCUCUUAACAUGGAACUCAGGUAAUUGGACCCCACUUCUAGUAGUAAUUGCUUUGACGUGUUCUUUGGGAUUAACCUCUGUAUUGCUUGGCAAUGUACUUGGUGUUCUGCCCGAUAUAGCUUGUGCCAUCUGUCCCAUUCGAGUCUCCAAGUUUUUAAUUGCAGCACUUUGAUUCUGGAUAGUUGUCUCAGUCUUCCUCAUAAAUUGAUUAUUCGCAUCCAUGUACUGAUAUGUCUUUUCCAUGAAUUUACCAAACAUCUCUUCCAAGGAAGUUCUCUUAUCUGCUUGCUGAAACUGAGAACCAUGUGGUGCAGUGAGAUCCUGAUUGCUCCAGGAAAAAUUUGGGUGCUUCCUCCAACUAGGGUUGUAGGUGUCAGAAUAUGGAUUAUUUUGUUGGCGUUGACCCCCUUGUAUGAAAUCAACGUGUUCCGUACCUUGUAUAUGAAUUGGACAAUUUACUGUAUUGUGAUCCGCCCCACAUUCUUCACAACUUGCUCUUUUAGCCUGUACUACAUUAGCUGACUGUGACAUGCUCUCUACCUUAUGAACCAAAGAGUCAAUUUUUGCAGACAACACUGUAUACGUAUCCACCUCAUAAACUCCAGGUACUUUCUUGUGAACAACACACUCAGAGGCCCACAUGGCUGUGGUAGUAGCCACUCUCUCAAACAAUUCCAAAGCUUCAUCAAUUGUCUUUGUGGAUAAGGAGCCAUUGGAUGAUGAGUCAACCAUGCUUUUAUAAGAUGGAAGUAGACCUGCAUAAAAAUAUUGGACCUGAAGCCCCUUGCUGAUGCCAUGAUGAGGGCACUUCCGAAGUAUGUUCUUGAAUCUAUUCCAAGCUUCAUCAAAGGAUUCGAUUUCUCCCUGCCGAAAUAUGGAUAUGUCAUGCUUCAACUUCGCAAUCUUAGCUGGUGGGAAGAAUUUGGUGCAAAAUUUUUGAGCCAAGUCAUUCCAAAUGGUGAUACUAGCAAUAGGCUGUGAAUCUAACCAUUCAAGCGCUCUAUCCCGUAGAGUAUGUGGAAAUAAUCUCAAUUUGAUUGCAUUAUCUGAAAUUCCUUGAUAUUUAAAGUGUUGCCACAUCUCCAAAAAUCGAGAGACAUGUGUAUGUGGAUUUUCAUCAGACCUGCCAUAAAAUUGAUGUCCAUUUUGGAAUAAAUGAAUGACAUUGGUCUUCAGUUGAAAGUUUGGUUGUCCAAAUGGAGGAUAAACGAUGCUAGAUUGGCUUUGAAUAAUUUGUGGUGUCAUAAAGUCCCCAACUAGCACGUUUCCUUCAUUAACCACUGCUUCUUCGUUCACUUGAAAAAUUGGAUUAUUCUGUCCGUUGGCCAUCUCUUGUUGUUUUAUUUCUCUUGCUUCUCUUUGCCUACGGUGAAAAGUACGUUCGAUUUCUGGAUCAGUUGGUAUCA
rnacentral:lncRNA from 1 species